rnacentral:lncRNA from 1 species
AAGAAUAGGUAAACACAAGUUCCAAGCUACAUUGCAAGCAAUUCUUUUCUUUAGAUUUAUAAGAACUCAAGCUCUCCAGCAAUUCUUCUAGCACCUCCAACCAUACUCUUAAACUGAAACUUUAAAAACUUUUUAUUUUCUUUUUAUACAAUCUUUCUUUUUUUUUUUUUUCUUUUUUUUUUUUUUUUUUUUCUUUUUUUUUGUUUUAAUUCAUAAACAUGAAAUACCCCCACACUUAUUCUUUUGCCAAACAUCUUCACAGUAUUUCACAAACGUUUCUCAUAAGACAAUCUCGCAUUGCUCGCUUGGAAAUGGUAAGGAAAAAUGUUUCAGGUAUAAGGGUAGACAUAUCUGGUGAUAAGAAAUAAAAGGCUCAACAAACACGGCUCAAAUUGGCAAACUAAUGAUAUCAUUUUUCUUUGGGAAACAUGGUUAUUUGGGCCAUAGUGGUAAACCUAAUGCCUCUAUCAUUUCCAAGUUCAAGCAAUCAAUGACAAACAUUUCGAAAGAUCGUUACGCAAGUUCUAGAGAUGUAUCUCACAUAAGUUCAUCACACAUGAAAGAAUAGGAGUGUAUGAAAAAUGCACACACUUUCAAUAGGCUCAAAAACUCACAUAGGAUGUAUAUGGUCACUAAAUUCACAUAUAAAGCUUUAAGUCAUGCUUUAGUUUCACAUUAACAAGGCUAUGUGCAUUUGGUUUUUCAAGGAUGGUCAAACAUGUACAAAACUAACAAGAGAAUUAGGAAUUUCACAAAACACAUGUUAACUAAGUUCUUGAUGAUCAUGGUUCAAAUUUUAUCCAAUUAUAUCAUUGGGUCGGGAAACUAACAAAAAUCUAAUUCAAAACAAUAAGGGAAACAAGACAAUUUUUUUGGAUUUUUAAAUUUUCCGAUUUUUUUUUUUUUUUUUUUUUUUUUUUUAAGAAAACAAAAAGCAAAAACAUAGAAACAAUAGAAAUUCUAGAGAUUUCUACCCCCACACUUAAACUUGACAUUGUCCCCAAUGUCAGAAAACACUAUAAUGCAAAUAAAAAAUAAAAUAAAAUAAAUAAAUAAUAAGAAACAAAAUAAAACAAUUGGACUGAAAACUUCCCUAAUUUGCAGUAAA